CACGGCCGGGCUGGAGGAGCGGCGGGCGCGCACUUUCAUGAAGUGCGUGCUCGCCGCUCCUCCAGUCCGGCCGUG
rnacentral:pre_miRNA from 1 species